UCGGAGCGCAAGUGUGUCAAAUAAUUACGUUUAUGUUCCAGACGAAUUUAAUUUCAGCACAACUUUAUAUUUUUCGGCCCAAUUGUUUUAAGGCCCGUUCCAUGUAUUAUUUAAACCGAAAAAAGGCAGCUAGGGUUAUUAUUCACCGUUCACGGAAAUUAGAAAACCCUAGAGCAGCCACCACUUACAUGGAGAACUAAAUCCUUCUUUCAAUUCGUUGGUGCAAGGAACUCGUUUUAGAUUCUUGAGGUCUGUUUUAAUAGCAAAN
rnacentral:lncRNA from 1 species